rnacentral:rRNA from 1 species
AUUGAACGCUGGCGGCAGGCCUAACACAUGCAAGUCGAGCGGUUGAAGGGAGCUUGCUCCCUGAUUCAGCGGCGGACGGGUGAGUAAUGCCUAGGAAUCUGCCUAUUAGUGGGGGACAACGUUUCGAAAGGAACGCUAAUACCGCAUACGUCCUACGGGAGAAAGCAGGGGACCUUCGGGCCUUGCGCUAAUAGAUGAGCCUAGGUCGGAUUAGCUAGUUGGUGAGGUAAUGGCUCACCAAGGCGACGAUCCGUAACUGGUCUGAGAGGAUGAUCAGUCACACUGGAACUGAGACACGGUCCAGACUCCUACGGGAGGCAGCAGUGGGGAAUAUUGGACAAUGGGCGAAAGCCUGAUCCAGCCACGCCGCGUGUGUGAAGAAGGUCUUCGGAUUGUAAAGCACUUUAAGUUGGGAGGAAGGGUUGUAGAUUAAUACUCUGCAAUUUUGACGUUACCGACAGAAUAAGCACCGGCUAACUCUGUGCCAGCAGCCGCGGUAACAC